AUUGAACGCUGGCGGCAGGCUUAACACAUGCAAGUCGAGCGAACGGCGGACGGGUGCGUCAUGUCUGGGAAACUGCCUGAUGGAGGGGGAUAACUACUGGAAACGGUAGCUAAUACCGCAUACCAUCAGAUGUGCCCAGAUGUGAUUAGCUAGUAGGUGGGGUAAUGGCUCCCCUAGGCGCCGAUCCCUAGCUGGUCUGCGAGGAUGACCAGCCACAGUGGAUCUGAGACACGGUCGAGACUCCUACGGGAGGCAGCAGUAGGGAAUAUUGCAGAAGGGGAGCAAGCCUGAUGCAGCCAUGCCGGGUGUGUGAAGAAGGCGUUCGGGUUGUAGAGCACUUUCAGCGAGGAGGCGUUACUCGCAGAAGAAGCACCGGCUAACUCCGUGCCAGCAGCCGCGGUAAUUC
rnacentral:rRNA from 1 species